UGGGGAAUAUUGGACAAUGGGCGAAAGCCUGAUCCAGCCAUGCCGCGUGAGUGAUGAAGGCCCUAGGGUUGUAAAGCUCUUUCAACGGUGAAGAUAAUGACGGUAACCGUAGAAGAAGCCCCGGCUAACUUCGUGCCAGCAGCCGCGGUAAUACGAAGGGGGCUAGCGUUGUUCGGAAUUACUGGGCGUAAAGCGCACGUAGGCGGAUAUUUAAGUCAGGGGUGAAAUCCCGGGGCUCAACCCCGGAACUGCCUUUGAUACUGGGUAUCUCGAGUCCGAGAGAGGUGAGUGGAAUUCCGAGUGUAGAGGUGAAAUUCGUAGAUAUUCGGAGGAACACCAGUGGCGAAGGCGGCUCACUGGCUCGGUACUGACGCUGAGGUGCGAAAGCGUGGGGAGCAAACAG
rnacentral:rRNA from 1 species